AUUGAACGCUGGCGGCAGGCCUAACACAUGCAAGUCGAACGAGUGGCGGACGGGUGAGUAAUGUCUGGGAAACUGCCUGAUGGAGGGGGAUAACUACUGGAAACGGUAGCUAAUACCGCAUACCAGCAGAUGUGCCCAGAUGGGAUUAGCUUUUUGUUGGGGUAACGGCUCACCAAGGCCACGAUCCCUAGCUGGUCUGAGAGGAUGACCGGCCACACUGGAACUGAGAGAAGGUCCAGACUCCUACGGGAGGCAGCAGUGGGGAAUCUUGAAAAAUGGGCGCAAGCCUGAUGAAGCCAUGCCGCGUGUAUGAAGAAGGCCUUCGGGUUGUAAAGUACUAUCAGCGGGGAGGCGUUACCCGAAGAAAAAGCAACGGCUAACUACGGGCCAGCAGCCGCGGUAAUUC
rnacentral:rRNA from 1 species